GUCUAGGUUGUGCACUGCAAAAGUUGCCUGCCUUGAGGAGCAAGGGUAGCUGAGAUUAGCCUGGGUUCUUCCCACCAAGCUGUGCUCCCAAGAAAGAGGAGUCUCCUAAUUUGUUCAAAGGGGCUGCAUGAACUAGUGGUUCCUUGGGUCUCCACUCCCCGACAGAAAGUUUGUGAUGCCUAAACCCAGUUUCUAUUCAUUUAUACAGGAGACUCUGUCCUCCUGCCUGUGCUCUACCGCCCGGGGCGCCGGGCACCUCUUUUUUAUGAGUUGCUCUCUGCCUUCCAGUAAGCCAGCAGCUUUCCACGGAAGUGCCUUGGCUUGAGAGAGGCCUGCAGAAACCAGCAGGGACAGGAUCUCUGAGAAGUUCCCCAGCAGCCUGAACAUCGGAGCCACUGAUCUUCCAGAUAAAUAGGGGCAGACAAAGGCGAGUGAGCAGUGAGCUCCAGAGAAACCAGUUGUGUCCGGCCGCAAAAAUAAUGUCCCUGGCUGCAAAGUGGACUCAAAAUGGACUAAUAGGCAAUUAGCACCAGAGUGCCCCUACCCAGCCCGGAGCCCAUUAGACGCAGGACGGCUUUAACCAAAUCCUGUCUUAAAGAGCUCUGUUGAGAGUCUCCAUAAUGUAAGUAGGGCCUUAAUGGGGAAAAACAGCCUGGUGACGCAGGUGAAGAGAGCGGUUCUUAGUGGGAGCUUAUAAGUGGGCUGGAGGCAGCCGAGCACUAUUGAGGUGCUCUGCAGGGGCAGGUGGAGGCAGAGGCGGUUGCGUUUCAGUCCAACCUGUUCUGGUUAGCUCUGUUCCAGGGCUUCCGCCUAUCCCCAAAUCUCUUCCAUAUUUGGAGCCCAGAAGGGCACCACCGCUGUGGUGUAACCUGCGUCUCCACCUCCGCCCAGGGUGGUCAGAUCUGGUAUGUUCUGGGGACUGGAAGCAGGUGUUCAGGCUCCAGGCCUGCAUGUGUCUGUGACACUGGCCUUGGCCCUGUGCCUUGAGUUCCCUUCCCUUUACUCUCUCCCUCCCUGGUGAGGCGAGAGUAUGGCUGACAUCACCUACCCUCUGGGCAGCACCUUAGGGUCUCACCCCUGGCUGCCUGCGGGAGCCACUAGGUGAGCUUUCCAAAUGCUGAUGCCCAGGCAAGAUCCUGAGAUUCCAAUCGGUUGGUCUGGAGUGGGGUCCCAGCAUGGGGACCGUAAAAGCUCACCCACUGGCUCAUGUGCACCCAGGGCUGAGCCCCACUGGUCCCCAGGGCCUGUCCCGUUCAUGCCCUCUCUGCUGGUUAGCCAGGCCCUACAGGGAAUUAGGCAGGUGUACCUUAUUAGAUCCCAUGCUUGAAUGAGACACCUGGGUAGCCUCUUAGACCCUGGAGCAGGAGCCCUCAAGCGGGUUCCCAGACUGGCAGCAUUGGUGAAAUGCAGAGUCUCAGGCUCAGCCCCAGACCUAUGAACUAGAAUCCCGCAGGUGGGGUCCAGCCAUCUAAGUUUUAACCAGCCCUCAAAUUUGAGAAUCACUGUGCUAGAAUAGUGACAGAAUUAUCACCGCAGUUCAGUGCUUUUGAAACUUUAACAUGGACAGAACUCAUCUGGGCAUUGUAUUAAAAUGUAGAUUCUGGGGCUGGGCGCGGUGACUCAUGCCUAUAAUCCCAGCACUUUGGGAGGCCAAGGCGGGCGAACGAGGUCAGGAGAUCGAGACCAUCCUGGCUAACACGGUGAAACCCUGUCUCUACUAAAAAUACAAAAAGCUGGGCAUGCUGGUGUGUGCCUGUAGCCCCAGCUACCAGGGAGGCUGAGGCAGGAGCAUCGCUUAAACCUGGGAGGUGGAAAUUGUAAUGAGCCGAGAUCGUGCCACUGCACUCCAGCCUGGGCGACAGAGCAAGACUCCAUCUCAAAAAAAAAAAAAAAAAGUAGAUUCGGCUGCAGUCUGAGCUGGGGCCACAGUUCUGCAUUUCUAACAAGGUCCCAGGUGCUGCUGCAGGUCCCAGGCCCACACUCCGAGCAGCGAGGUCACAGGUGGAGUCAUCAAGUGCCUUCUGCAGGCUGGACACCGGACUAAGCCCAAGCUUGGGCCCUCUCCUUUCAUCUUCCCUAAAUCAUCUGACUUCAUCUCGCUUCAGCUUCGCAGUGGCUCAUGCCUGUGAUCCCAGCACUUUGGGAGGCCAAGGUGGGGGGAUCACCCUUAGGUGAGAGGUCAGGAGUUUGAGACCAGCCUGACCAACAUGGCAAAACCCCGUCUCUAUGAAAAAUACAAAAAUUAGCUCAGCGUGGUGGCGGACACCUAUUAUCCCAGCUAUUCAGGAGGCUGAGGCUGGAGAAUUGCUUGAACCU
rnacentral:lncRNA from 1 species